UACGUAGGGUGCGAGCGUUAAUCGGAAUUACUGGGCGUAAAGCGUGCGCAGGCGGUUUUGUAAGCCAGAUGUGAAAUCCCCGGGCUCAACCUGGGAAUGGCAUUUGGGACUGCAAGGCUGGAGUACGGCAGAGGAGACUGGAAUUCCUGGUGUAGCAGUGAAAUGCGUAGAGAUCAGGAGGAAUACCGAGGGCGAAGGCAGGUCUCUGGGCUGAUACUGACGCUCAUGCACGAAAGCGUGGGGAGCAAACAGG
rnacentral:rRNA from 1 species